rnacentral:rRNA from 1 species
GACGAACGCUGGCGGCGUGCUUAACACAUGCAAGUCGAACGGAAAGGCCCUGCUUUUGUGGGGUGCUCGAGUGGCGAACGGGUGAGUAACACGUGAGUAACCUGCCCUUGACUUUGGGAUAACUUCAGGAAACUGGGGCUAAUACCGGAUAGGAGCUCCUGCUGCAUGGUGGGGGUUGGAAAGUUUCGGCGGUUGGGGAUGGACUCGCGGCUUAUCAGCUUGUUGGUGGGGUAGUGGCUUACCAAGGCUUUGACGGGUAGCCGGCCUGAGAGGGUGACCGGGCCAAAUGGGGAUGAGGUACGGCCCCGACUCCUACGGGGGGCAGCAGUGGGGAAUAUUGCACAAAGGGCGGAAGCCUGAUGCAGCAACGCCGCGUGCGGGAUGACGGCCUUCGGGUUGUAAACCGCUUUCGCCUGUGACGAAGCGUGAGUGACGGUAAUGGGUAAAGAAGCACCGGCUAACUACGUG